CUCCGCUUGGUGUAGUUGGUUUAUCACGUUCGACUGUAAUAUCUAUCUGCUAUCGAAAGGUCCCUAGUUCGAUUCUGGGAGCGGAGA